CAGCUUGUGCAGGAAAUCCUUCCUGCGGUCGGUGAUGCGGGCGUGCACCCGGGCCACCUUCUUACGGGCCUUGUCCCGGUUCGCGGACCCUUUCUGCUUGCGGGACAGCUCUCGCUGGGCCUUGGCCAGCUUCGCCCGGUCCCUGCGCUCGUGGCGCGGGUUGGUGACCUUCUGGCCCGUGGACAGGCUCACCAAGCUGGUGAUGCCCGCAUCCAGUCCCACCACCUGAUCGGUGGGGGUGUGGUGGGCGAUCACGUCCUCGCACAGGAUCGACACGUGCCAGCGCCCGGCACUGUCCUUGGACACUGUCACUGUCGUGGGCUGCGCACCCUCUGGCAGCGGCCGCGACCACACGAUGUCCAACGGCGCGCUCAUCUUCGCCAAGGUGAGUUGCCCGUCGCGGUAGGUGAACCCCGACCGGGAGUACUCCGCCGACGCCUUGGACUUCUUGCGGGACUUGAACCGCGGGUGCCCGGCCCGCUUGUCGAAGAAGUUCCGAAACGCCGUCUGCAAGUGGCGAAGCCCUUGCUGGAGGGGGACCGAGGAGACCUCGUUCAAAAACGAAAGGUCG
rnacentral:antisense_RNA from 1 species